rnacentral:rRNA from 1 species
AUUCGCCCUUCGGCUACCUUGUUACGACUUAGCCCCAGUCACCAGUUUCGCCCUAGGCCGGUCCUCGCGGUCCCGGACUUCAGGCGCCCCCGGCUCCCAUGGCUUGACGGGCGGUGUGUACAAGGCCCGGGAACGUAUUCACCGCGCCAUGGCUGAUGCGCGAUUACUAGCGAAUCCAACUUCGUGGAGUCGGGUUGCAGACUCCAGUCCGAACUGGGACAGGUUUUCGAGAUCGGCAUCCGGUCGCCCGGUAGCACCCCUCUGUACCUGCCAUUGUAACACGUGUGUCGCCCCGGACGUAAGGGCCGUGCUGAUUUGACGUCAUCCCCCCCUUCCUCGCACCUUGCGGUGGCAGUCCCUCCAGAGUCCCCAGCUUAACCUGAUGGCAACUGAAGGCAAGGGUUGCGCUCGUUAUGGCACUUAAGCCGACACUUCACAGCACGAGCUGACGACAACCAUGCAGCACCUCGACAACUGUCCGAAAACUAUCCCAUCUCUGGAAUAUUCAGCUGCCGUUCGAGCCCGGGUAAAGUUCCACGCGUAUCAUCAAAUUAAACCACAUGUUCCUCCACUUGUGCGGGGCCCCCGUUCAA